AUGAAAGAAGGAAGAAAAGCUGCACUAAAGAUUGAAAAAACGGAGAAAGAGAUCCAAGAUCGAAAAACGCGUAUACUCUCGCUGUGCGAUCUCUUCUUCGUCUUUCACGAGCUUCCUUCACCAACUCACAGUCCGUCUCUCUUCCACCUCACACCAUCGCCGGUCUUAACCCCUGUUUCUACCGCGAGCUUCAUCAUCACAGAGCUCAGCUAG